rnacentral:rRNA from 1 species
GACGAACGCUGGCGGCGUGCUUAACACAUGCAAGUCGAACGGUGAAGCUGGAGCUUGCUCUGGUGGAUUAGUGGCGAACGGGUGAGUAACACGUGAGUAACCUGCCCUGGACUCUGGGAUAACCCCGAGAAAUCGGAGCUAAUACCGGAUAGGACCUUGGAUCGCAUGAUCUGGGGUGGAAAGUUUUUCGGUCUGGGAUGGACUCGCGGCCUAUCAGCUUGUUGGUGAGGUAAUGGCUCACCAAGGCGUCGACGGGUGGCCGGCCUGAGAGGGGGAACGGCCACACUGGGACUGAGACACGGCCCAGACUCCUACGGGAGGCAGCAGUGGGGAAUAUUGCACAAUGGGCGCAAGCCUGAUGCAGCAACGCCGCGUGCGGGAUGACGGCCUUCGGGUUGUAAACCGCUUUUAGUAAGGAAGAAGCCGCAAGGUGACGGUACUUGCAGAAAAAGGACCGGCUAACUACGUGCCAGCAGCCGCAGUAACAC